GUGUGACUAUAUGUAUUUUCCUGUAUUUUCUAUGCGAUCGACUCGACACGACUUGCAGAAUUACAGUGUGAGAAAUUAUCGUAAAUGUAUUUUUAUGUAUUUAUAUAAUACACUAUAUAAAAACGAAAAUUGCGUGUAUUCGCAUCAUCCGUCGCGUAUAAUAUGAAUACAAUAUUUAUUUUGUCAUGGUCAAAAUAUUCGGGUAUACGGUAAUUUAAUGAGUCGUAUCAUACACCGCGCGUGAUCUCCAGACUGCAGCUGUGUAGCACAACAAUACACGAUCGUAUGCAAUCAUAAUAAUAUAAUAUACAUUUGGUCGAAGCUGUUCACAGUCCACCGAAUUCGCGGUAGCGGUAUUUUGUCAUGGCAAGAUCCGACAGCGCCGAAGAGGAUUUUUUCUCAGUUUUUAAUUACGCUAAGACUACCGUUUCUAUGUUGCAUUGUCUGAAUUUUCAACAAAGAAUAACAAAAAAAAAAAC